rnacentral:rRNA from 1 species
ACGAUGGGAGUUAGCUAGUAGGUGGGGUAACGGGCGUCACCUAGGCGGACGAUCCCUACGCUGGUCGUGAGAGGAUGACCAGCCACACUGGAACUGAGACACGGUCCAGACUCCUACGGGAGGGCAGCAGUGGGGAAGUAUUGCACAAUGGGCGCAAGCCUGAUGCAGCCAUGCCGCGUGUAUGAAGAAAGGCCUUCGGGUUGUAAAGUACUUUCAGCGGGGAGGAAGGGAGUAAAGUUAAUACCUUUGCUCAUUGACGUUACCCGCAGAAGAAGCACCGGCUAACUCCGUGC